AGCAUGAUCAUUAUACUUAAAUCAAUAGAUAGCUUACAUACAUAUGUUGUUUUUCCUCUUCAAGUCAUACAUUUUCUAAAUCCUUCGUACCAUUCUUUCUUUGGGUCUCGAAAUUAUAGGAUUUUUCGAUCAUUAUACAAAAUAUUGUCAAUGAGGAAGAAGAUAUAUUGGCACCUAGAGCUACAGAACAAGUUGUGGUUGAACCACUUGCCUAUUUUU
rnacentral:lncRNA from 1 species